CCUACGGGAGGCAGCAGUGGGGAAUAUUGGACAAUGGGGGCAACCCUGAUCCAGCCAUGCCGCGUGUGUGAAGAAGGCUCUAGGGUUGUAAAGCACUCUCAGCAGGGAGGAAAGGUUAACGGUUAAUACCCGUUAGCUGUGACGUUACCUGCACAAUAAGCCCCGGCCAACUACGUGCCAGCAGCCGCGGUAAU
rnacentral:rRNA from 1 species